rnacentral:rRNA from 1 species
AUUGAACGCUGGCGGCAUGCUUUACACAUGCAAGUCGAACGGUAACAGGGUGCUUGCACCGCUGACGAGUGGCGAACGGGUGAGUAAUGCGUCGGAACGUGCCGAGUAGUGGGGGAUAACGCAGCGAAAGUUGUGCUAAUACCGCAUACGUACUGAGGUAGAAAGUGGGGGACCUGCGGGCCUCACGCUAUUCGAGCGGCCGACGGCUGAUUAGCUAGUAGGUGAGGUAAAGGCUCACCUAGGCGACGAUCAGUAGCGGGUCGGAGAGGAUGGUCCGCCACACUGGGACUGAGACACGGCCCAGACUCCUACGGGAGGCAGCAGUGGGGAAUUUUGGACAAUGGGCGAAAGCCUGAUCCAGCCAUGCCGCGUGUCUGAAGAAGGCCUUCGGGUUGUAAAGGACUUUUGUCAGGGAGGAAAUCCCUAGCGUUAAUACCGCUGGGGGAUGACAGUACCUGAAGAAUAAGCACCGGCUAACUACGUGCCAGCCGCCGCAGUAAAAC